rnacentral:piRNA from 1 species
UGCCAACAGGUGGCCUCGGAAGC